rnacentral:lncRNA from 1 species
AAACCAGGCACCUGGAGCCCUGCAAAGGUCGGCGCUAUGAAGGAUGUCUGGCCAGCUGUUUGAAAUGGAAUUUGCACGAAGGUUUUCCAGGAAGGACACUAAAAGCUGAUCACAGGCUUGCUGUGAAAUCAUCAAAGAGAAUUAACCACUGAAGAUAUCUGGAAUACAGGUCAAUGUCCCCGACUCCACCUGCCCCCUCCUCCCCUUCCAUUCUCACACAACCUGGGCAGAGGGGUCAGGCACAGCUUGCACAGCCCUUCACGAAUGUCCUCAUGACCGGAGCAUAUCUGACAGGAUCAGAAAUUCUUUUAGUUCAUGGGUUAUUAAAUCCUGAGGUUUGAAUAUAAUCUCUUAUGUGUGUAAAGUCAAGCCUCUAGGGAUAUACAUUUAUUUUGUUGUUUUUCAAUGGCAUUGACUCUAACGUUUCCCUCCUAGGGCUUGUCUAGGUGGUUCUCUCCCAAGUUUGGUCGAACCCAGGAGCCAGGCAAUUAGAUACUAAAAGAAGAUGGCUUAAAAUACGAAAGAAACCAUUUGCCUAGAGGAUGCCUCACAGCAAAAGUCUUUAUAUAACUCCCAACUCAUCUUUUCCUGUGACCUCAUCGACUGGUCCUUGUCACAUCAGACCAUCACCAGUUAUCCGUCAACUCCGUGCUCACUCUGACUGUGUAUUGACUUGGACCUGGCACCGGACUUGGUUCUGAGGAUACAUAGUUCAUGUUUUCCUUUCUGGAGAACUCACUGAAGAGAGAAACCUUGGCAGCCGUGAUGGUUUUCCCACCGUGGACUGCGUCGAAUAGCAGCCCUGGAGUCAUGCCGUGCAGAACCAACUGAGAGCUUCUCCAUCCUCUAGCAAAUAGCAGCUGUGGGGAGCCGCCCUCACAUUCGCCUUACAAGAUGGUGCUGACAUCCUGUGUUCUAAGUGGUAAACAAAUAAUCUGCGCAUGUGCCAAGGGUAGUUCCCCACCCCAUGUGCUCUGCCUUCCCCGUGACGACAACUCGGCCGAUGGGCUGCAGUCAAUCAGGGAGUAA